GACGAACGCUGGCGGCGUGCUUAACACAUGCAAGUCGAGCGGUAAGGCUCCUUCGGGAGUACACGAGCGGCGAACGGGUGAGUAACACGUGAGCAAUCUGCCCUUCUCAUCGGACAAAGCGUGGGAAACCGCGUCUAAUGCCGAAUACGACUUCGGGAGGCAUCUCCUGAAGUGGAAAGCUCCGGCGGAGAAGGAUGAGCUCGCGGCCUAUCAGCUUGUUGGUGAGGUAAUGGCUCACCAAGGCGACGACGGGUAGCCGGCCUGAGAGGGUGACCGGCCACACUGGGACUGAGAUACGGCCCAGACUCCUACGGGAGGCAGCAGUGGGGAAUAUUGGACAAUGGGCGCAAGCCUGAUCCAGCAACGCCGCGUGAGGGAUGGACGACUCCGGGUUGCAAACCUCUUUCAGCCGGCACGAAGCGCAACGGACGGUACCUGCAGCAGAAGGACGGGCCCACUACGUGCCACCCGCCGCAGUAAUAC
rnacentral:rRNA from 1 species